rnacentral:lncRNA from 1 species
GGCGGAGGGCGCGAGAGGCUGACGGCGUGGGGAGGGGGUAUAGGCGCUGGGCGGAGUGCUGAGCUCGGAGAGCCUGGCACUCGGAGCUGCUACCCCCUCCCCCCCCCCAAGUCCCCUAGAAACCCCUUUUCAUCCAUCCUCCCGGGGCGGGGCGAGGAGGGCUGAGCUGUCCCGGGCGGGCGGGGCGGAGCCCGGAGCCCCACCGAGCGAGCGCUGCGGUGUGAAUCUAACCUCCUUUCCUGGGCUCAAGGACACGGAUCUCAUCUCCAGCCAAAACCAGGAAUCUUUUGGAUAUGCGAGUCAUUCAUCAUUUACGAGAGAGCUGUAGUCAACCAAGCCAAAGAAGGACUGCUUCCAAAGCAAAGCCCUCUUCUAACACUGGACUGUAUGUGCUAAUCAUCAGAGCUGUUGGCUGAAAUGAAAUCCAUUUAGAAUAGUCAGGUUGUGAUUGAGGAAGUACUGUAAAUAAUCACUUCAAUGCUGGGGAUUUCCUUAAAUGCUAUUUGGUGGAAAAAUGUUACCAGUUUCUUAUAUUUUUAAGUGAGAGAAUAAUUGAAUAUUAAGAUUUAAAUGGCAAAAUUUCUAUGACCA